rnacentral:misc_RNA from 1 species
CAGCGCGGUAAUUCCAGCUCCAAUAGCGUAUAUUAAAGUUGUUGCAGUUAAAAAGCUCGUAGUUGAAUUUCGGGAUCAGACUGUCGGUCGUGCCUCGGUACGCACUGGCAUUAUUGGUUCCUACCUUCUGAAGAACCGCGAUGUCAUUAAUUUGGUGUCGUGGGGAAUCAGGACUGUUACUUUGAAAAAAUUAGAGUGUUUAAAGCAGGCGCACGCUUGAAUACAUUAGCAUGGAAUAAUGAAAUAGGACGUUUGAUUCUAUUUUGUUGGUUUCUAGGAUCGACGUAAUGAUUAAUAGGGAUAGUUGGGGGCAUUAGUAUUCAAUUGUCAGAGGUGAAAUUCUUGGAUUUAUUGAAGACUAACUACUGCGAAAGCAUUUGCCAAGGAUGUUUUCAUUAAUCAAGAACGAAAGUUAGGGGAUCGAAGACGAUCAGAUACCGUCGUAGUCUUAACCAUAAACUAUGCCGACUAGGGAUCGGAUGAUGUUAAUUUUUUAAUGACUCAUUCGGCGCCUUACG